GCGAACGCUGGCGGCAGGCUUAACACAUGCAAGUCGAACGGGCAUCUUCGGAUGUCAGUGGCAGACGGGUUAGUAACACGUGGGAACGUACCCUUCGGUUCGGAAUAACUCAGGGAAACUUGAGCUAAUACCGGAUACGCCUUUUUGGGGAAAGGUUUACUGCCGAAGGAUCGGCCCGCGUCUGAUUAGCUUGUUGGUGGGGUAACGGCCUACCAAGGCGACGAUCAGUAGCUGGUCUGAGAGGAUGAUCAGCCACACUGGGACUGAGACACGGCCCAGACUCCUACGGGAGGCAGCAGUGGGGAAUAUUGGAAAAUGGGCGCAAGCCUGAUCCAGCCAUGCCGCGUGAGUGAUGAAGGCCUGAGGGUUGUAAAGCUCUUUUGUCCGGGACGAUAAUGACGGUACCGGAAGAAUAAGCCCCGGCUAACUUCGUG
rnacentral:rRNA from 1 species